GACGAACGCUGGCGGCGUGCUUAACACAUGCAAGUCGAACGAGUGGCGAACGGGUGAGGAACACGUGUGUGAUCUGCCCUGCUCUUCGGGAUAAGCUCGGGACACCGGUUCUAAAACCGGAUAGUCCAAGAUGAGCUCGCGGCCUAUCAGCUUGUUUGUGGGGUAAUGGCUACCCAGGCGCGACGGGUAGCCGGCUUGAGAGGGUGUACGGCCACAUUGGGACUGAGAGACGGACCAGACGCCUACGGGAGGCAGCAGUGGGGAAUAUUGCACAAUGGGCGGAAGCCUGAUGCAGCGACGCCGCGUGGGGGAUGAGGCCUUCGGGUUGUAAACUCCUUUAGACAGGGACGCGGUACCUGUAUAAGAAGCACCGGCUAAAUACGUGCCAGCAGCCGCGGUAAUAC
rnacentral:rRNA from 1 species